rnacentral:rRNA from 1 species
UACGGGGGGGGGUAAGCGUUGUUCGGAAUUACUGGGCGUAAAGGGCUCGUAGGCGGCCAACUAAGUCAUACGUGAAAUCCCUCAGCUUAACUGGGGAACUGCGUGUGAUACUGGAUGGCUUGGAUUUGGGAGAGGGAUGCGGAAUUCCUGGUGUAGCGGUGAAAUGCGCAGAUAUCAGGAGGAACACCGGUGGCGAAGGCGGGUCUCUGGGCCGUAACUGACGCUGAGGAGCGAAAGCGUGGGGAGCGAACAGG